UUUAACCCCUUAAGGACCAAGCUUCUGGAAUAAAAGGGAAUUAUGACAUGUCACACAUGUCAUGUGUCCUUAAGGGGUUAAGCAACUAAAAUGUAAUUUAGAACAAGAACAGUGUAUCUUAUUUACACAGACUGAUUUCUAAACACAUUUAUUGUAGUUUAAAGACACAUUACUGGGAGUAUUAUUACUGUGGAGCUCUGUGAUACACUCAGACACAUUACUGGGAGUAUUAUUACUGUGGAGCUCUGUUAUACGCUCAGACACAUUACUGGG